CUGAACUUGGAAGAAACAAUGGGAUUCUGAAGAAAAAGGGCAGUUUCUGGUCAUGCCGUUUGAUGAGUUAGAGAGGAUGCAGUAUGUCAUAGAGACUGGUCUGGACAGGAUUGAAUUAGGGUAAGAAAUCCCAGCCUUAAACCUAUGAUUUCAGUUUUGUUGGGAUAUUGAAAUUGAUUAAUUGAGUAUGUUGUUUUGUGGUGGAGAUGAAUGCCUGAGAAUUUGAAGUUUUGGAGAAGAGAGGAACUGCUGGAUCAAUUUCGAUUGAGACUGGAAAAGGUGUUUACACGACUGUUGGUGGUGGAUUGCAGCAACGACAAAUUAACUUCUAGUUUGAAAGAGAAGAUUGGUAAGGACCUGGUUUGGUGAUCUUGAAAUUGUUGUGGUUGAAUUGAACAAAAUUGUGAAUUCAUGAUGAAUUGAGCAUGUUGUAAGAUGAUUGGAAAAUGGAUUAAAUGAAGGUUGAUUUAAGAUGACUUUUUA